CUACGGGAGGCUCCAGUGAGGAAUAUUGCACAAUGGGGGGAACCCUGAUGCAGCAACGCCGCGUGGAGGAUGACGCAUUUCGGUGUGUAAACUCCUUUUAUAUGUCAAGAAAAUGACGGUAGCAUAUGAAUAAGCACCGGCUAACUCCGUGCCAGCAGCCGCGGUAAUACGGAGGGUGCAAGCGUUACUCGGAAUCACUGGGCGUAAAGGACGCGUAGGCGGGCUUGUAAGUCAGGUGUGAAAUCCUACAGAUUAACUGUAGAACUGCACUUGAAACUACGAGCCUAGAGUAUGGGAGGGGGAGAUGGAAUUAGUGGUGUAGGGGUAAAAUCCGUAGAUAUCACUAGGAAUACCUAAAGCGAAGGCGAUCUCCUGGAACAUAACUGACGCUAAGGCGUGAAAGCGUGGGGAGCAAACAGGAUUAGAUACCCGCGUAGUC
rnacentral:rRNA from 1 species